rnacentral:rRNA from 1 species
UACGUAGGGGGCUAGCGUUGUCCGGAAUCAUUGGGCGUAAAGCGCGCGUAGGCGGCCAGAUAAGUCCGGUGUGAAAGUCACAGGCUCAACCUGUGAAUGCCGCUGGAAACUGCCUGGCUUGAGUCCGGAAGGGGCGAGUGGAAUUCCUGGUGUAGCGGUGAAAUGCGCAGAUAUCAGGAGGAACACCAAUGGCGAAGGCAGCUCGCUGGACGAGAUCCGACGCUCAGGCUCGAAAGUAUGGGGAGCAAAAAGG